rnacentral:piRNA from 1 species
UUCCAAAGAAACCCAUUCUUU